rnacentral:sRNA from 1 species
GUGGGGUUGGGGAUGAAGUGGUUGAUGCGGCCGCCGAUCACGGCCCACGUCCGAUUGCCCUCGUUGACCAUCUGGACGCCCCGCCCCUUGAACUUCUU